GCUCAGUAACACGUCAAUAAUCUGCCCUAUGGUCCGAGAUAACCUUGGGAAACUGAGAGUAAAACCGGAUAGAUACUGAAUACUGGAAUGUGUUGGUAUUGAAAUGUAAAGCCAUAGGAUGAGUUGGCGGCUGAUUAGGUAGUUGGCGGUGUAAAGGACCACCAAGCCUACAAUCAGUACGGGCCGUGAGAGCGGGAGCCCGGAGAGGGGGACUGAGAUACUGCCCCCAGCCCUACGGGGUGCAGCAGGCGCGAAAACUUUACACUGUACGCAAGUGCGAUAAGGGAACUCCCAGUGCUCAUGUUUUACAUGGGCUUUUGCCAAGUGUAAAUAGCUUGGCGAAUAAGUGGUGGGUAAGACGGGUGCCAGCCGCCGCGGUAACACCUGCGCCACAAGUGGGACUCAUUAUUAUUGGGCCUAAAGCGUUCGUAGCCGGAUAUGCAAGUCUUGGGUGAAAUCGAUGCGCUUAACAAAUCGACGUGCCUGAGAUACUACGCAUCUUGAGAUCGGGAGGGGUUAGGGGUAUUCUGGAGGGAGCGGUAAAAUGUUAUAAUCUCCAGAGGACCACCUGUGGCGAAGGCGUCUAACCAGAACGAGUCUGACGGUGAGGAACGAAAGCUAGGGGAGCAAUCCGGAUUAGAUACCCGAGUAGUCCUAGCUGUAAACGCUGUGAGCUAGGUGUGUCGGUUUCUUAGGGAAACCGACGUGUCGGAGUGAAGAUGUUAAGCUCACCGCCUGGGAAGUACGGUCG
rnacentral:rRNA from 1 species